rnacentral:sRNA from 1 species
GGGAGAUAAUGAGUAUACGUCUUGGCUAAAGACUCCUAAUCUAUCUCUAACUCUAUCAUUAGUCAAAUGCAUUUAAUUAUUAAACAUUUUGACGAUAGAAACACUAAGAAAGCUAUUUACUGCGUCUAAGAAAAUAUUUGUUGGUUUUAGCCUCUUUUGGGAUAAAAUAGGUAUAAGUGUUGUCUAAACACUCCUAAUCCAUCUCUAACUCUUAUAAUUAGUCGAAUGCAUUGGAUUGUGAUACCUUUUGACCAUAAAAACACUAACAAAGUUAUUUACAGCUUCUAAGCAAUAUUUUGUUGGUUAUAGUUGCUUUGGGAGAAAAUGGGUAUAAGUGUUGUCUAAACACUCCUAAUCCAUCUCUUACUCUUAUAAUUAGUCAAAUGCAUUGGAUUGUGACACAUUUUGACCAUAGAAACAGUAACAAAUCUAUUGACCGCUUCUAAGCAAGUUUUGUUGGUUUUAGCCUCUUUUGGGAGGAAAUGGGUUAUAAGUGUUCUCUAAAACACUUCUUGUCCAUCCCUAACUCUUAUAAUUAAUCAAUUGCAAAUUUUUGUUGGUUUUAGCCUCUUUUGGGAGAAAAUGGGUAUAAUUGUUGUCUAAACACUCCUAAUCCAUCUCUAACUCUUAUAAUUAGUCGAAUGCAUUGGAUUGUUAUACAUCUUGACCAUAAAAACACUAACAAAGUUAUUUACUGCUUCUAAGCAAUAUUUUGUUGGUUAUAGCUUCUUUUGUGAGUAAAUGGGUAUAAGUGUUGUCUAAACACUCCUAAUCCAUCGCUAGCUCUUAUAAUUAGUCAAAUGCAUUGGAUUGUGACACAUUUUGACCAUAGAAACACUAACAAAUCUAUUGAGUUGUUCUAAGCAAGUUUUGUUGGUUUUAACCUCUUCUAGGAGGAAAUGGGUAUAAGUGUUGUCUAAACACUUCUUAUCCAUCUCUAACUCUUACAAUUAGUCAAUUGCAUUGGAUUGUGACACAUUUUGACCAUAGAAACACUAACAAAUCUACUGACUGCUUCUAAGCAAGUUUUGUUGGUUUUAGCCUCUUUUGGGAGAAAACGGGUAUAAGUGUUAUCUAAACACUCCUAAUCCAUCUCUAACUCUAUAAUUAGUCAAAUGCAUUGGAUUGUGAAACAUUUUGACCAUAAAAACACUAACAAAACUAUUUACUGCGUCUAAGCAAAUGUUUGUUGGUUAUAGCUUCUUUUGGGAGAAAAUGGGUAUAAGUGUUCUCUAAACACUCCUAAUCCAUCUCUUACUCUUAUAAUUAGUCAAAUGCAUUGGAUUGUGACAUUUUUUGACCAUAGAAACACUAACAAAUCUAUUGACCGCUUCUAAGCAAGUUUUGUUGGUUUUAGCCUCUUUUGGGAGGAAAUGGGUUAUAAGUGUUAUCAAAACACUUCUUGUCCAUCCCUAACUCUUAUAAUUAAUCAAUUGUAAAUUUUUGUUGGUUUUAGCCUCUUUUGGGAGAAAAUGGGUAUAAUUGUUGUCUAAACACUCCUAAUCCAUCUCUAACUAUUAUAAUUAGUCGAAUGCAUUGGAUUGUGAUACCUUUUGACCAUAAAAACACUAACAAAGUUAUUUACUACUUCUAAGCAAUAUUUUGUUGGUUAUAGCUUCUUUUGUGAGUAAAUGGGUAUAAGUGUUGUCUAAACACUCCUAAUCCAUCGCUAGCUCUUAUAAUUAGUCAAAUGCAUUGGAUUGUGACACAUUUUGACCAUAGAAACACUAACAAAUCUAUUGAGUUGUUCUAAGCAAGUUUUGUUGGUUUUAACCUCUUCUAGAAGGAAAUGGGUAUAAGUGUUGUCUAGACACUUCUUAUCCAUCUCUAACUCUUACAAUUAGUCAAUUGCAUUGGAUUGUGACACAUUUUGACCAUAGAAACACAAACAAAUCUACUGACUGCUUCUAAGCAAGUUUUGUUGGUUUUAGCCUCUUUUGGGAGAAAAUGGGUAUAAGUGUUAUCUAAACACUCCUAAUCCAUCUCUAACUCUAUAAUUAGUCAAAUGCAUUGGAUUGUGAAACAUUUUGACCAUGAAAACACUAACAAAGCUAUU